UCGGGUAGGCCGCGCGGCGCCGGCGUCGCUGUGUUGGCGGUGCCGCUCAGCGAUGGGCGACGUGCUGGCUUACGAGGCCGAGUUACUGGGACUGGUGAGAGAGUAUUUGGAUUUUGCUGAAUUUGAAGAAACAGUGAAGGUAUUUGCAAAGGAAUGCAAAAUAAAAGGGAAGUCACUACCUAAAACAGCAGGUGUUUCCUUGAGAGAUUCAAAAGCCAUUCCUGUUCAGAAAGAUCUGCUCAGAGCAUUUGACAAUGGUGAGCAGAAGGCUUUCUUCCAGCUCUGGGAGGAGCACGUUUCAUCUUCAGUCCGGGACAAUGAACCAGUUGCUCAGAAGCUGGAGUUCCAUCUUCACGUACAUUUUGCCACCUACCUCUUAAAACACUCUGUGGGAAAGCCUGACAAAGCUGAACUUGAGGAAAGAAUUUCUCAUUUUAAAGCAUACUUGGAAACAAAAGGAGCUGCCCUGAGCCAGACUACAGAGUUUCUUCCCUUCUACGCUUUGCCUUUUGUUCCCAACCCUAUGGUGCAUCCUUCAUUUAAAGAACUUUUCCAGGAUUCUUGGACGUUGGAUUUAAGGACAAGAUUGGAAAAGUUCCUGUGUCUGACUCUCAAAGCCAGCCAGACUCCCAGGCUUCUCACUUUAUUUAAGGAGAAUGGACAGUGCAGUAAAGAAACAUUGCAACAUCUCCAUCAACAACUAGUGGAGUCAGAGCACAGGACCAUGACCUACCUGAAGAGGUUUAACAAAAUGCAAGCAGACUACCAUAAUCUCAUUGGAGUCACUGCAGAGCUUGUGGAUUCCUUGGAGGCCACAGUCAAUGGCAAAAUGAUCACACCAGAAUAUCUUCAAAGUGUUUGCGUUCGCCUGUUUAGCAAUCAGAUGAGACAAAGUGCAGCACAAAGUAUUGACUUUACAAGGCCUGGAACGGGACAUUGCUCUAUGAGCCCUUGUGAUGACGGAUAUGCUUCCACAAUGUUAAGAGCAUCUUUGGCACCUGUGAAGAAGCAGGAUGUGCCCUUGUUGCCCUCUCUGGACUAUGAGAAGCUGAAGAAAGAUUUGCUUGCAGGGAACGAUCGUCUCAAGGCCUUCUUACUGCAGGCUCUGCGCUGGCGCUUGACAACUUCAUAUCCUGGAGAACAGAGGGAUACUGUCCUGCAGGCUUACAUCAGUAAUGACCUCUUAGAUUGCCACAGCAAGUGUCAGAGAAGUGUCCUUAAAUUACUGCAGUCUAAGAGUGAGGUAGUCAGACAGUAUAUGGCAAGGCUCAUCAAUGCUUUUGCUUCAUUGGCAGAAGGUCGUCUCUACCUUUCUCAGAACCCAGUGUUGCUGCAAAUGCUGGAGGAGAGACUGAAAACUGAGGACAAGGAUUCCCUUACAUGGGAGAACGUUCUGGGGGCUCUGCAGAAAUUCAGCCUCAGACGUGCCCUGCAGUCAGCAAUGAUCAAGGAUGGGCUCAUUUUCUGGCUGGCUGAUGUCCUGGCGGAUACAGAUAGCCUUUCUGAUUACACACUAGAAUAUUCUGUUGCCUUGUUCAUGAAUCUUUGUUUGAGGAGUGCAGGGAAGAAAAUGUGUGCAAGGAUUGCAGGCCGUGUACUCAAAGUUCUCUCUGAUCUUCUUGGCCAUGAGAAUCAGGAGAUACAACCAUACGUGAAUGGAGCACUCUACAGCAUUCUUGCUAUCCCUUCGGUCCGAGAAGAAGCCAGAGCGAUGGGAAUGGAAGAAAUUCUACGCUGCUUUCUCAAGGAAGGAAAUGCAGAGAUGAUCCGACAGAUUGAAUUUAUUAUCAAGCAGCUCUAUUCAGAAGAGCCACUAAAUGACAAUAUUGUGUCUGAUGAUGAAGAGGAAGAAGAGGACGAGGAGGAGGGCCAUGACAUCAUGGAGGCUGACCUGGACAAAGAUGAGGUUUUACAGCCUCAACUGGGAGAGCUUACAGGAGAGAAGCUGUUGACAACUGAAUACUUGGGAAUAAUGACUCAUACUCCAAAGACCAAGAGGAAGCUGUUUUCUGGUGUCCAUCAGAGUAUAGAUGAACCUCUCCAGAGACCUGUGACACCAGGUUAUCACAGAAAUUUAUACCCAACGCCAGAAAACGAUUCCAUUUCUUGUCACGAUAGAGAUGAAAAUUCCCAGUCUCUGCUGAGCGGUUCUCCUCCUGUCUGUGCCGGGAGCAGCUCUGGCAUUGCUGACCUCUGCGCUUCCUCUUCAUCAAUUGAAAUGAAGCCAUCUAAAAUAUUCUCAUCAGGCCAUAGGAUGGACCGAAGCAUUGAAGCUGGUGAUAUCUUGUCUUCCCAGUCUACUGACUUCACCCAAGACAAAGUGAAUGGGCACUCUCAUAGUGAGUUUUCUUCAGCCUUUACCAGCAAACCUAAGAUCCCUCGCACUCCUGAAAUGCACAGUGCCAGCCCCAGAAAGGGAAAGAUCCCAACCAUUGCCCCCCAGUUCUCCCAGUCUGGACCCCAACAAACGAGCCGUCCCAGCUCCUCGGGAUCAUCCACAAGGAGCAGACAGAGCAUCCAGUCCUACAGGAAGUGAGAACAGUUCCUUUCCUCGAGAAUCACCUGUCACAUUGCUGAAGGACAGAGCCAGCUUCCUGUAAUGAGCUUUACUGGCGACCUACUGAGAAGAGGUUAUUAUCACUGCACGGCGCACGCCUUGCACGGUGAUUCAGGGAUUAUCUGAUGGGCUGCAUCUGCUGUCAUCUCUCAAGCUGGCUAAGACAAAGGCCUUGUUACAAUUCGAGGUCUCAUCAGCUGCCCACAGCUGAUACAGUAGAUGGAUAUAGUCCCAGCAUCUCUGAGAGUUUAAAGAGACAUUGCUACCUCCAGGGAAGUCUCUUCCUCUCUGCUUUCUGUGUCAGAGUAAAUCGCCUUUGAAAACGGUGCCUAGGGCUCAGCACAGGAUCUAGCCAAGGAGCCGUCUUGUUUAGGCAUUGCUUGCUUGUAACUUGUUCUGUUGUCUUUUUAAUUAUGCUUUUGUCAAUGAGUUUGGGAAUGUCUGAGUUCCAGGGAUCAGCACUAGGAGAGAAAGCAUACCUGCCUGUGUAGAACUACUGCCUGGAGCAGCUGUGUGUGGAGUGAGGUCUGCAUUUGAACAUCAAAGUAUUUCAUCAGUGUGUGACAGUUGUAAAACUGUGUGCCACUGUCCAGCUGCUCACCUCACCUCUGGGGGUCUGAUCAGCAGGUUUAUCUGUAGUAAUUACUCCUAUUCAAAUGUACUUUGCCUUGGUACUUGGUUGCCACUGAAGCUGUAAAGCACAGAAGAAAGCACGUGUGUUGUAAAUUGAUAUUAAAAGCAAAUGCUUUUAGGUAGGUACAAGAAGGGAGAAGUUAAAGCUUUUGUGUUGGAGUUCCACCGUGAGAAACACAUAAGAUGAACUCAGCCCAAGAGGUCAAGCAACUCCAAUAAUGGCAAUUACCUCCACCUUGAGAGCAAAGAAUUGUAAAGUCAGCAAUCGUGUCCAGAUGAAAGCUUCUCUGUGAUGAGACCUCGAAUUGUUCCUCGUGGUGGUACGUGGUGGCAACUGAAUAGCCAAGGCCAUUUCCUCUCUUGAUGUGAUUGCCAUGAGACCAGUGAUGCUGUGUCACUGUCUGACAGAAAGGCAUCCAACACACGAGUUCCUCUCACCCCUUCAAUAACAGACUUCAAAUUGGAGUUAGGAUCUCUUGAAGAAAAAGACAUCCUGCAGUCUGAAAUCUGAUCGUAUUGAUAUGAAACUCAGUAAGUCCACAGGGCUCACACAAAGCAGGCAGAGUACGGGUGUUACUUUAAUGCCCAGCUGCAUAGGACAUAAAGUGAUUGUAGGCAGCUAAUCACCCCUAUCCUGCAGGUCUCUGAGGUAGAUAAACCACAGAAAAGCUCUGAUCUGUGCUUAGAUUGACCCACCUCCUCUCCAAGUUGAUAAAGCAAGUAAUGGAAAGAUGCCUUUUGAGGAACCAAUAGGGGCUGCAAUACAAGGCAGCCAUAAAAACUCACGUAGUGGAUUUGCAUAGUGGGCAGCUUUGCUUUUUCCUCUGUGCUUUUCUUUUCUUUAUUUUUUUGCAGCAUGUAAUAUCAGCUGUCCGGCUGUUAACACUGAAGUGCUAUGCAUGCUCAUCUGCAUCUGUAGGUGCAUAGAGAGCCCCAGCAGCUGAGCUGAGAUUUAUCUCACUGCAGUGCUGAGUUUCGCAUUGGAGACAAUUUUUUGUACUAAUGCUUGAGAAACUCCAUUUGCCAAAUACUUGAGAGGGACUGUGUGUGAGCUUCAAAAUAAAUUAUGGGCUGAGCAGCAAUAUGAGAACCUGACAAAAUACUGUGUCCUUCUGUUCUCUGUCUGUUCACAAAAAUGAUGCCGGUCAGAAGGGUUUGAAGCUGUAAGAAGUGUUGAUUUUGCCUUUGUUAGCAGGACACCGCUGCCAGAGGUUGAGAGGUCCCAGAAUGAUCAGGUCAGUCACACACACACACACAGCAAAUUCUGCACCUCUCUCUUAAAGGUUGCUGUAUGCCACGCAGAGGUCGCUGCCAGAUCCAGCAGCAGCCUGGUGAGUUCCUAACAGGAGCAGUGGAGAUUGCCUGCUUGAGUGAGAGGGGUGUGACUGUACCUGAACUGGCUGCAGUGUUACUUGCAAUAAGUGCACGAAUGGCACAAGACAUAGAGCUGGGAUUUUUUUCUUGUGUGACCAAAGUGCUGUGUGACACUGGCAUGCUUUCUGCAUAUGUCCUGUUUAUCUUCAGUGUUAUUGAGACACUGAAUCAUAGAGUAUCCUCAGCUGGAAGAGGCUCACAAGGAUAUUCAAGCUGAACUCCUGGCUCCACACAGAACCACCCGAAAAGCCAACAUUCCCUCUGACAGCAUUGUCCAAAUGUGAACUGCACGUCUAAUUACAUUUGCAUGGAGAGUUCAUUCUAUAUACUUUAAAAUCAUCUGACACUGAUAGAGCAAAAUUGUUUCUAAAAGGAUAUAUUACUUUUUCCUCUCUGUGAUAAGUUUGUUUGGUGUUUCAUGGAUAUACAGGGUGUGCAUUUGUUUACUUUCCGCUGUUUUCUUUGUGAUAAAUUCUGUCCUCAGCAGCUUUGUCUCCACCUGAAUGGAAAGCACAGCUCCCUCACGCAGCCUGGCCCGCAGCUGCGGAGCUGGCAUUGUUUGCUCUGAAGUGCUGCAGUGCAGGCAUGAGCCUCUCGCUGUGCUUUGCCUCACAGAAUAGCCCAGGUUGGAAGGGACCUCAAGGAUCAUGAAGCUCCCAAGCCUCCAGCACAUACAGGGCCACCAACCUUCACAUUUAAUACUAGACCGAUCUGCCCCGGACCCCAUGCAAUCUGGCCUUGGACACCUCCAGGGACGUGGCAUCCACAACCUCUCUGGGCAGCCUGGUCCAGCACCUCACCACUCAUAGUAAAGAACUUUCCCCUGACAUCCAGCCUAAAUCUUCCCUGCUUCAACUUAAAACCAUAGUUCUUGGGCCUUUAUAAAAUGGUGGAUGUUACAGCAUAGGGAAGAGAAGCAUUGCAGUGCAUUCGUGCAUGUCUUUGAGUAGUAACAGUGGGAUGGCAAGCGAGCUGCCUGCCUUCCUGCUGUUCCUCCCCGCUGAAGUUCAUCUUUGAGCCAGACCUUCCUGGCAGCACAUCCAUCCUCACACUUGGUUGCAGUGUGGCUCAGUGCUGGACCAAGUCCCAGGAGGGGAAGUGCUGGAGAGCAAAGAGGUGCACCUCGCUCAGCCUGCCUGACCUCGGGGUGGCUGGAGCAGGCCCUGCCUGGCUGUACCUGGCUGUGGAGCACCAGGGGAUGUGCGCACAGCUAACAGAGGCCAGGACCAGCAGCCCUUCUGGCCUGGCAUCUGCACAGUGCUUGGUAUCAGACCUCUCAAAGAGAGCUGCUUCCCACUUCCUUGCUGCAUGCUGCCCUGUGAAGGAAAGGCAUUGAGUUCACUACAAGGUCACUGUCCAAACUUUGCUCUUUCAGAACCUGAUACUCUGCAAUCAGCAGACUGAAUGGCCCUCUGACAUCCAGUAACUUUCUGGAACAUGUCCUUUUAUUGCAGGUUCCUUCCUGGCUUAUAUUUACAAGCAACGCUGGUGUUAGUUUGUGGAAAUGAAAGUGAACAAGCCUCAGAUAUCCAGGUUUCACUCCGUGGUCCUCUUGCUCUGAACAGUGAUGAAAAAGUGGAGCUAAUGUGAGGAUGAGUUGUGAGUGCUGGAAAUAG